AUUGAACGCUGGCGGCAGGCCUAACACAUGCAAGUCGAGCGAGCGGCGGACGGGUGAGUAAUGUCUGGGAAACUGCCUGAUGGGGAGGGAUAAAUACUGGAAACGGUAGAUAAUACCGCAUACCAUCAGCGGUGACCAGAUGGGGUUAGCUGGUCGGUGGGGUAACGGCUCACCUAGGCGACGCUCCCUAGCUGGUCUGAGAGGAUGACCAGCCAACCUUGGACUGAACCACGGUCCAGACUCCCACGGGAGGCAGCAGGGGGGGAGAUUUCACAAUGGGCGCAAGCCUGAGGGAGCCCUGCCGCGGGUGAUAAGGAGGCCUUCGGGUUUGUAAGCACUUUCGGGUACGAGGCGUUAAUCACAGAAGAAGCACCGGCUAACUCCGUGCCAGCAGCCGCGGUAAUAC
rnacentral:rRNA from 1 species